AGAGUUUGAUCCUGGCUCAGGAUGAACGCUAGCUACAGGCUUAACACAUGCAAGUCGAGGGGCAGCAUGGUCUUAGCUUGCUAAGGCCGAUGGCGACCGGCGCACGGGUGAGUAACGCGUAUCCAACCUGCCCACCACUUGGGGAUAACCUUGCGAAAGUAAGACUAAUACCCAAUGACGUCUCUAGAAGACAUCUGAAAGAGAUUAAAGAUUUAUCGGUGAUGGAUGGGGAUGCGUCUGAUUAGCUUGUUGGCGGGGUAACGGCCACCAAGGCUACGAUCAGUAGGGGUUCUGAGAGGAAGGUCCCCCANAUUGGAACUGAGACACGGUCCAAACUCCUACGGGAGGCA
rnacentral:rRNA from 1 species